CAUGCAAGUCGAGCGAACCCUUCGGGGUUAGCGGCGGACGGGUGAGUAACACGUAGGUAACCUGCCCGUAAGAUCGGGAUAACUACCGGAAACGGUAGCUAAGACCGGAUAACUGUGCGGAACGCAUGUUCUGCAUAUGAAACACGGAGCAAUCUGUGGCUUACGGAUGGACCUGCGGCGCAUUAGCUAGUUGGUAGGGUAACGGCCUACCAAGGCGACGAUGCGUAGCCGACCUGAGAGGGUGAUCGGCCACACUGGGACUGAGACACGGCCCAGACUCCUACGGGAGGCAGCAGUAGGGAAUCUUCCGCAAUGGACGCAAGUCUGACGGAGCAACGCCGCGUGAGUGAUGAAGGUUUUCGGAUCGUAAAGCUCUGUUGCCCUAGACGAACAGCAAGGGGAGUAACUGCCCUUUGUGUGACGGUAUAGGAGAAGAAAGCCCCGGCUAACUACGUGCCAGCAGCCGCGGUAAUACGUAGGGGGCAAGCGUUGUCCGGAAUUAUUGGGCGUAAAGCGCGCGCAGGCGGUUUUUUAAGUCUGGUGUCUAAGGCCGAGGCUCAACCUCGGUUCGCACCGGAAACUGGGAGACUGGAGUGCAGGAGAGGGAAGCGGAAUUCCACGUGUAGCGGUGAAAUGCGUAGAGAUGUGGAGGAACACCAGUGGCGAAAGCGGCUUCCUGGCCUGUAACUGACGCUGA
rnacentral:rRNA from 1 species